GUUUCUGUAGUGUAGUGGUUAUCACGUUUGCUUCACAUGCGAACGGUCCCUGGUUCAAGACCCGGCAGAAACA